UCUCAUUCCCGAUAUAACAUUUCAAACUACAAUUUUCCCGCCUCUCUGUCUGUCUGUCUGUCUCUCUCUCUCUCUCUCUCUCAACCAUGGAACCUCCAUAUCUGAAGUUACUAAUGGUGCAGGGCCCUAGAGAGGGCGAGACGUUGGAAUUCCGACCCGGAUCCACCAUCCGAAUAGGCCGGGUAGUCCGCGGCAACAACCUCCCUGUCAAGGAUGCCGGCAUCUCCUCUAAACACCUCCUUAUCGGAUCCGAAUCGGGUAAAUGGAUUGUCCAAGACCUCGAUUCCUCCAACGGAACCACUCUCAACUCCUCCAAGCUCCCUCCCUUCCAAUCCUUCGAUCUUCGUGAUGGCGACUCCCUCAAGCUCGGUGAGUACACAUCCAUCCUCGUUCAGUUCAGCGGCAGCGAGCCGUCUCAGUUAAGAUGCAAUCCGAGGAGAAAAGUCAAUGAAUUUGAUAAAACAGGAUCGAUUGCAAAGAACCGUGGCGGGAGGCCAGAGGUGAUAAAAUCUGAAGAGAAUAUUGAAUUGGAGAGAGAACAUGUUGAGAAUUUGGAGGAAAUUAAGCCAGUUCAGAGAAGAGGUAGACCGCGAAAAGCUAGGGUCUUGGAUAAGGUCGCGGAGGCUGAUAAAGAAUCGGGAAAUUUGGGCUCCACGGCAGAGAAAGUGGAGACGCAGGGACUGAAUUUUAGGGUUACUCGAAGUAGAAAGAAUGGGGAUUGCAUGAUUUUGAAUAAUUUGGGCGCUGAAUGUAGUAAAAUGGCGCCAGGGGGCAGGGGAAGGAGAAAGAAGUUACCGGAUUUGCCGCUGGAGAAUUCUCAAGUUGGUGUUCUAGAAAACAAGGAGACUAUAGAUUUAGUAUCGAAUUUGAGAGAAGAGGCGCAAGAGAAGGUUAAUGAAGUUGGUGUUAGGGGAGAAAAUGGAAUAAAAUGCGAGAUUGUAGAAGGAAAGAAGGGAGAGGGAUUGGAUGCUGAAACGAAUUGUAAAGAUGCUGGGAAUGCGGGUGGUCUCAAAGAGAGUAGUGGUAAGGCACAAAUUAAGACGAGUGAGAAUUUGGGUAAAGGGCAGGAAACAGUGGAUUUGGAGGAGAUGACGUUGGGGCAGUGGUUUGAUUAUAUGGAGGCGCAUUUGCCGAAGCAGAUAAUUGAAGCUAGCGAAGAGAUGAUCGAAGGAAUGAGACGGAAAGCAGAACAGGUUCGAGAGUAUAUGAUAGAACAGAAGAAAGCUAAGGCUGUUCCUUCUGUGGGUUAGAGGAGGAGAGGCUUGACUCACAAGUAUUUCUCCAUAAGAGCUUAGCUGCGUUUUUAAAGGGUUUUGGGAGAUCCAUGGUAUAAGUUUGGAUGCAAUAUCUCGUGGGCGGAGUUGCUAGAAUGUUCAUCUCUGGAACUUGGAAAGACAUGUUUAGACAAGUUUUCCUCGCAAUCUACCGGGCAACGGUGAAUUGCCCAGUCAUUGAAGGAGUGCUAUUUAGGGAAGAUGAUGGACGUGUUUCAUUUUCUGUAAGACUCUUAACUCUGUCCUUUACCUUCUUCUAUCUAGGAUCCAUAGCUCUUUAGUUCUCGUUAUCAAUACUCUGAGCAGUUGAGAGAUGUAAUUGAAGUACUAGAUUAAUUGGAAUUUAAAUCCAAUGAAUUUGGAUUUAAUUUCCUUUUGUGCGAAGCUGUAAUUAUGUAUUGAAAACCAAAUGCACUAUCAUUUUCAUGCCCAAACCAGAAGAUACAAGAAGCUGAAGGCCUCGCCAAUUCUCAUAA